CGUGUAGGCGGUUCGGUAAGUGGGAUGUGAAAUGCCCGGGCUCACCCCGGGACCUGCAUCCCAUACUGCUGAGCUUGAGUACAGGAGAGGGUGGGGGAAUUCCUGGUGUAGCGGUGAAAUGCGUAGAUAUCAGGAGGAACACCGGUGGCGAAGGCGCCCACCUGGCCUGCUACUGACGCUGAUGCGCGAAAGCUAGGGGAGCAAACG
rnacentral:rRNA from 1 species